rnacentral:rRNA from 1 species
UACGGAGGGUGCAAGCGUUGCUCGGAAUUAUUGGGCGUAAAGGGUAGGUAGGUGGUCUUGUUUGUCUAGGGUGAAAUCCCAGGGCUUAACCCUGGAAGUGCCUUAGAAACGGCAAGACUAGAGUUCUAGAGGGGUUUGUGGAAUUCCCGGUGUAGCGGUGAAAUGCGUAGAGAUCGGGAGGAACACCAGAAGCGAAGGCGGCAAACUGGAUAGAUACUGACACUCAACUACGAAAGCGUGGGUAGCAAACAGG